rnacentral:lncRNA from 1 species
AUGACCAACAAAUAUAUAUAUCCAACUGAGGUUCGUAACAACAAUAUAUUACAAGUUGACAACCAUAACAAACUGAGCCUGAGUUUGAAGUCCACACAUGCACACAUAUGCAACAAGAGUUCACAAACGAAAGAACCAUGAGUUUAAAGUUCACACAUGCAUACAUAUACAACGAAGGUUCAAAACAACAUGUGUCCAUAUGCAACAAGAAUUCACAAACGACAGCAUGAGUUCCAAGUUCACACCAAGCAUGAACCUAAAAGAUGCAAUGAGCUUCCACCGCAGCAUGUAUGCCCACCGCCGACGGCAUCUGCGAUGUAAACCUACAAAUCCAUUACCACACGCAUGAGUUUCCAAAGUUAAGUUGCAAAAGAUCAAUAAGGCACAAGAGUCAACAAGCAUCAACAUAUAAGAACUAACACACAUACUAGAAGAUUCACAACAAGUUCUAUCUUGAAGCCCUCAAUCUAGCAGACAAAAAUAUAUAAUGCAUAGAUUUCACAUUUUUCCCAGAGCUUGAGGUCAUUUAAUAUAGAACUACCAUAAGCUGCACCGAUCAUGGAGAGGAACUGAGUAACAAAUGACCAGGCUGCGAUCACCACACAAAAAUGUGUAUUAUCAGAUUUUGGUGGUUACAAAAAUAAGCCAUCACAAAUUUAUGAAAAGGACUAGCACAUCAAUUUGGAUAUAUGUUAUGUAACUAGGUCUGAGGCAUACAAUACAUGAACUAUAAUCAGCAUGUACAACAGCAAGCGGUAGGGUAUAAAAUUUCUACCUGUACUAAACAUACACUAGACAUCCAGCUUUCCGUUCCCAGCAACUAAAGUCUCAAAAUGUACAGUUUCAUCAAAUAGUAGCAGUGCAAACUCACAACUCUUCAAAUAAUGAUUGAGUGCCCAGCACAACAUACCAUUGAGUUGAUUUGGACUCAUCGAGGCCUUGCGCCAUAGCCAAUGUUUCAGUAACUCCUCGUCUCCUAAAAACUUAUCUCUUUAUCCGUGUACAUCUACACCUGCAUGAGGAAACAAUCAAUUAUUUCAUUUGGCUGUAGCAAACGUGGUGAAUAUAUAUAACUACAAUUACCCUUGCAUAAGCUGAAGCGGUCAUGGAGUAGAAACAAGAACAAAUGACCACGGAGCCAAUGCCACACAAACAUAUGUAUCAUCAGAUUUUGGUGCUUGCAAGAAUAACCCGUCAACAAAUUUAUGAAAAAGCCUAGCACAUCAAUUUUAAAAUAUGUGAUGUAACUAGGUCGAGGCAUCCAACAGAUUGACUACAAUCAGCAUGUACAACAGCAAAUGGUGGGCUACCAAAAUAAACAGGGCAGUGAGGUGUGAUAAGUUAUUUAUAAAGCGGGAUUGGGCUUCCCAAAAAACACAUGAGCUAUAAGAAGGCAAUGAGGCGUGAUAAUUUAUUUGUAGAAGAAAAGAGCAUAAUUAGUAAUGUAAACAUCUAGGGCAAGGUAGCAACCUUUUACCGUAGAAAAUCGACACAUUUUCUUCAUCCAGCUAGUCCACCAAUAAUGGAAGCACUAACCAAACAAUGUAUAUGCAGUCGCAAUUUUAGGGAACAAUGACAGUGAGCUAGAUCAGGUGUAAAAUGAAAUACCAUUCAUGAGCAUGAGCAUCAACCAUAAACACAUCAUAUAGAACAAGAUAUGAUAUGAAUUACAGAAUUUCGUCAUACCACUACACAAGAACCUGGAGUCGUGGUGCAUGACCUCAGAGUAAACCAAACCCAGGAGAGACCUCAUCAUCAUAGUUUGGUUUCACAACCAGAAUAGAAAAUAGGCUACAACAAAGCAAUGAUGACUUGGAAAAAAACUCAAAGUCAAUAGGGACUGUGUCCAAAUCUACAAAAGGAACAGAUCUGCAUCAGUGAUGUUUUCAAAUGAGUCUGCACAUCUCAGUUUUCACACGCUAAAUAAAAAGUGAUGCAAAUUCAUUUGUCUGUACGUACAAGUGCAAGUGCUAUCCAACAAGUCAGAUUUGUCGGUAGAGAAAUC